UCUCUAUUACAGCCUGGCAUUGAGCAGACGACCAAGGCCGCAAUCACCGCUCCCGCUGACGUCCCUGCAAAGCGAUGGGCUGUGUCCAGCAUCCUCGGGGCCAGAUCUCGCAGAGCGUCCACGGCCCCAGCCUGGUAGUAGGAAAGGAACCCACUCCCGGAGAAGGAGAUGGAAUGAGGGGUGUCUGGGUCUCCUUUGAACACCUGUUCAUCCAUCUUCGGGGUCUCUGGCCUCCCAGUGGAGGAAGAACCCACACCUGUCUGCCUUGGCUCAGUAUCUCCUCCUCUGCCAGCCAAGAGCAGGGAAUGUGGCAACUCUACCGGCCCAGUCAGGCAUCCACGGGUGGUUCAUCCAGCCACUGCCUGGGCCUGUUUAGCUCUGCUGAGAGGCGCCCCUAAAGGGCUGAUAGGGGACCCCAGGUACUGGAUGAAAUGUAGACAGUCCUUAGAGUCAUGGGCAGGGGCGUGGUCCUGCAGACCCCAUGCUCACUUCAUGCCCUUGCUAGACUUCCUCAGGUACAGGUUCUUCAGCGCUCUCCACCCAUCCGGAGCGCACCCAGGAGCGGGGCCCACAGAGGCGGUGCCUCUCAGUCCUCAGCAUCCAGUUGCAAAAUCUGUGCCUCACCCUGUGCCUCCCUCACUGACAGGCUGCUCUUCACUGACAGGGUACAGAGUUAUAUGCCACGCCCCCUAGUCGCCACGCCCCCUCCCAGCCCGUGUCCCCCUCACUCCCAGUGUGGGCUGCUGGGUGGCUUUGGCUUUCAAAGGGGAGGAGCAACUCAUACCACCCCAUGCCCCUCCCCCACCUCCUUCAGACUCUGGAAAGUUCUUAGACAAGCCCCUCUCUAUUUAUUCUUACCUUAGGAUUGGCUGUGGGCAGAAACUGUAACAGAGAAGUUUGGCUCUGGUAUUUGCCCACGUUUGCUUUCCAUUGCUGUGAUAACACCGUGACCUGGGGCAGCUUGGGCAGGAAAGGGUUAUUUCAGCUCACAGUUUAAGAUUCAUCAUGAAACCCAUGACAUGGUGGGUGGGAAGAACUGAUGCAGACCUGCUGCUAACAGUACACUGUAUCUUCGGACACUCCAGAAGAGGGAGUCAAAUUUGUUAUGAGGACAGUUGUGAGCCACCAUGUGGUUGCUGGGAUUUGAACUCAGAACCUUCAGAAGGGCAGUCAGUGCUCUUAACCGCUGAGCCAUCUCUCCAGCCCUCAGCUUGCUUUCUUACACAAACUUGGACCACCUGCCCAGGAAUGGCACCGCCCACAGUGGGCGGAGCCCCCUCCCAUCAAUCAUUAAUCAAGAAAAUACCCGACAGACUUGCCCACAGGCCAAUCUGAUGGAGGCAACUCCUUCAAUGAGAGUCCCUCUCUGCAGCGGCUGUCAAUAACCAGCCUCCUUCCUAACUCCUCUUACUCUGUCGUCUCCCUGUCCCUGGCCUGCUCCGCGCCCUCCUUCUCGCCUGCCUCUCGGUCCUGUGCCAGCUCCAGAGGCCCGAAGAGGGCAUCCGAUGCCCUGCAGCUGGAAUCCCAGGCAGUUGUGAGCUGUGGGGACAUCAGGGUCAGGGCAGAGAGAUGUUUUGGUAAGGGACAGGGGCUUGGGGACCAGGGUUAGCUCUAGGGCUGCUCAGCAUGACUCCUGAGAGGAAAAAUUUUCCUCACAGCCCAAAAAGGUCACUGCAGAUCAAUAAGGCAGCAAAAAGCUUUCCUAGUCCCCUCCUUCCCCUCCUGCUCCCUCUCCCCUCCUUCUUCCUCUCCUUUGCUCUCUCUCCUCCUCCUCUGCAUUCUCCCCCUUCUCCUUCUUAUCCUCCCCAUCUUCCCACUCCUUCUUCACCUUCUCCCCUCCUCCUUAUCCUUCCCCUCCUCCCUCUCUUCCUCUUUCCCCUCCCCCUCCUCCCCUGCAUUCUCUCCCCUCCACAUUCUCUUUAUCCUCCCCUCCUCCCCCUCCUCCUCUUUCCCUCCUCUUCCUCCUUUUCCAUAUUCUCCCUCCUCCUCUUUAUCUUCCCUCCUCCUCUCCUUCUUCCUCCACCAUCACCCCAAGGCAGCAGGACCAGAAUUAGAACUGAGACAAGUUGUCUCUCUCCUAGUCCCAGUUGGCCCCAGCCACUCUAUAGGUGGGGACAAUGAUGUCUUUCCUGGAGUUCCUGUCAACUGACGACUUCAUUGAUCCAAACUGGAAAUACACAGUCCAGCACCCACUAAGGAGGGAGCCUUCCAGGGUUCCAUCUUACACAGAGCUUCAGACAUGUAAUUGUCAGAUUUGGAAGACAGGUUUUGUGUGUGUGUGUGUGUGUGUGUGUGUGUGUGUGUGUGUGUGACAUGUGACAGGAAGAAGCCAAUAGUGCUGCCUCAACUCCCCCAGACCAGAUGCUAACAGGCUUCCUGGGACUCUGACAGGCAAAUGUGAAGUAACCAGAGACCCGUCCAAGGCGCCCUGUAAUUAACUGCUACAUUGUGCAAGGCUAGAUUGCCGCAGGAGGAGCAAAGAGGGAGGGCGGCUGGUUGAGCUAAGGCAUCAGAAGCUGGGGACCAGAGACUAGAGAUGGGGUGGGGGGCGCGGUGUGCAGGGAAAGAGACAGCUCUGGGCUUCCUUUGGACGAAGGCAUGAUGAACUCAGAGGCAUGGGCGGGGCUCUUGGGGUCAGACAGACAGGUUGGCUCCCUGGCUCUGUUCUGCUGUUUACAUGCAGCAGGACCCGGCACAGUACAUUUGGACUUUCCCCAUUUGCAAAACAGGCAGUAAUUCUCAAGCUUAGCAGGAGCUAUAGAGGUGACAGAUAAAGGCUAUGCCUGGCAGGUGACAUGCCUGUCACUAUCCAAAGGCAAUAGAAGCCAAGGUUUCUGUAAAAGAUGGAUCCUGGAGUCUGUGGAAGAGAAGAGUAGGUCAGAAGGGACACAUGUGACCUCCACUGCGGGAGGGGGGAGGAGGGCGCUUGGAGGACACUCCAGCUGGAGAGUAGGGGAAGGGAGGAGAGAUUAGGGUCGGUGAUCCAGGAAGAUGGAGUGGCCAGGCCUGGGGAUGGCUAGAGGGUGAGUCAGCAAAGCUAUUGCUACAGAGUCUCGGAUGUGGGACUGACUGUGGGACUGGCUGGGUGAGCAAGGUGAUUCAUGAUAAGGCCUGGGUUUCUGCCUGCGGCUAAGGAGAGACAGGGUGGCUGUGGCAGACCCAGAAACUGGGACACCGGUGAGGAAACUGGAUGAAGAUUUUAUCUAUCUGUCUGUUAGUCCAUCCAUCCAACUACCCGUCCAUCUUAAGAUUUGGAAACGAGAAAGACAGCUCAGCAGUUGCUUCUAUUGCAGAGGACCUAGGUUCAGAUUCCAGCACCAACGAGGGGACUUAACCCACCCAGAACUCUAGUUUUAGAGGAUCUGGUGCCCUCUUUUGGCCACUGGGAGCACUACAUACACAUGGUAUACACUCCAGCACAACAGCCAUACUCAUAAAAUAAGAAUGAAUUGAAAAUACUAUAUUUGUACUUUUUUUUUAAAGCUUGGCAUGGUGUGUGAUGCCUUUAAUACCAGCACUUGGGAGGCAGGAACAGGCCGAUCUCUAAGAGUUUGAGGCCAGGCAGUGCUAUAUAAUCUGGUCUUGUCUCAAAAUAAAUAAGAAA
ensembl:antisense